rnacentral:rRNA from 1 species
AGAGUUUGAUCCUGGCUCAGAAACGAACGCUGGCGGCGUGGCUAAGACAUGCAAGUCGUACGAUAUGUUGUAGCAAUAUGACAUAUAGUGGCGGACGGGUGAGUAAUGAAUAGGUAACGUACCCCGGGGACAGGGAUAGCGUCGGGCGAAAGCCCUUUGCGAAAGUGACGGUAAUACCUGGUGAAGUCUUUGGAUGGCAUCAUUUGAAGACCAUAGGGUGGGGAUCUUCGGACCUACCGGCCUGGGAGCGGCCUAUUUCCUAUCAGCUAGUUGGUGAGGUAACGGCUCACCAAGGCAACGACGGGUAGCCGGACUGAGAGGUUGUUCGGCCACAUCGGGACUGAGACACUGCCCGGACAUCUACGGAUGGCUGCAGUAACGAAUAAUCCGCAAUGGGCGAAAGCCUGACGGUGCGACGCCGCGUGGAGGAUGAAUUCCUUCGGGAUGUAAACUCCUUUUAGGGAGAUGAAAGUGACGCGCGCUAAUACCGCGCUAGCUGAUCUAUCCCAGAAAAAGCCUCGGCUAAACCCGUGCCAGCAGCCGCGGUAAUACGGGUGAGGCAAGCGUUGUUCGGAAUCAUUGGGCUUAAAGCGCGUGUAGGCGGCGUCGUAAGUACUUUGUGAAAUCCCUUCUCUCAAUGGAGGAAUUGCUUGGUAUACUGCGGUGCUUGAGGCAGGUAGGGGUGCUUGGAACUCUAGGUGGAGCGGUGAAAUGCGUAGAUAUCUAGAGGAACGCCAGUGGCGAAAGCGGAGCACUGGGCCUGUCCUGACGCUGAGACGCGAAAGCGUAGGUAGCAAACGGGAUUAGAUACCCUCGUAGUCC